GAGAGAAAAUAAAACUGAAUCCUAUCAGUGUUCGUGGUAAAAUGGCAGAAGCCAGCUCAGCACUGGAUCUGAACCAGUUCAGCUGCCCAAUCUGUCUGGAUUUACUAAAGGAUCCAGUGGCUAUUCCCUGUGGACACAGUUACUGUAUGAGCUGCAUUAAGAGCUGCUGGGAUCAGGAGGAUCAUGCUGGAGUUUACAGCUGCCCCCAGUGCAGAGAGACCUUUGCGCACAGACCUGCUCUGAACAGAAACACCAUACUGGCUGAAGUGGUGGAGACACUGAAGAAGACUGGACUACAGGCAGUUACUCCUGCUGACCAGUAUGCUGGACCUGGAGAUGUAGAGUGUGACGUCUGUACUGGGAGAAAACACAAAGCUGUCAAGUCCUGCCUGGUGUGUCUGGCCUCCUACUGUGAAACUCACCUCCAGCCUCACUAUGAGUCUCCAGCUUUUAAGAAGCACAAGCUGACUGAUGCCAUCAGCCAUCUGAAGGACAAGGUCUGCUCCCAUCAUGACAAACCCCUGGAUAUCUACUGCUGUACCGACCUGCAGUGUAUCUGUCUGCUGUGUGUGAAGGAUAAACACAGAGGCCAUGAUACAGUCUCAGCUGCUACAGGAAGGGCGGAGAUACAGAAACAAAUGGGUGAAACACAGAGGGAAUUUCAGCAGAGAAUUCAGAUGAGAGAGAAGGAGCUGCAGGAGCUGAGAGAGGCUGUGGCCUCAUUCACAAGCUCAGCACAGUCAGCAGUGGAGGACAGCGAGAGGAUCUUCACUGAGAUGAUCCGCUCCAUUGAGAGAAGACGCUCUGAGGUGACAAAGCUGAUCAGAGAUCAGGAGAAGGCUGUAAUGAGUCAGGCUGAAGGAGACAUGAAGAGACUGAAGCAGGAGAUCGAUGAACUGAAGAGGAGACACUCUGAGCUGGAGCAGCUUUCACACACAGAGGAUCACAUCCAUUUCCUCCAGAGGCGCCAGGCUCUUCCUGUCACUCCUGAAGCUGGAUUUGGACCCAGAAUCUCUGUCAGUCCAAGAUCUGAUUUUGGGAAUUUGAGGAAGGCGGUUUCUGAGCUGAAAGAUCAACUGGAGAAUGUUUGCAGAAUGAAAAUGGCAGAGAUUCAUCACCCAGUUACCAAAGACACUGUCGUACCAGUAUUAGUGCCCAGGACCAGAGCAGAAUUCUUACAAUACUCCUGCCAGCCGACGCUGGACCCCAACACAGCAUACAGAGUACUGUCUCUGUCAGAGGGGAACAGGAAGGUGACAUUAGGGGCAAAGCAGCCAUAUCCUGAUCAUCCAGAGAGAUUUGACUGCUACCCCCAAGUUCUGUGCAGAGAGAGUCUGACUGGUUGCUGUUACUGGGAGGCUAAGUGGAGUGGAGAUGAAGCCCGGAUAGGAGUGACUUAUAAAGGAAUCAGGAGGAAAGGAGGGAGGGCUGACUGUCUGCUUGGAGCCAAUUACAAGUCAUGGAUGCUGUUCUGCUCACCUGACAGAUACUCUGUCUGUCACAAUAAUGACGAGAUUGUCAUGCCCAUAAAGCCCUCAGGCUCCCGCAGAGUAGGAGUGUAUCUGGACCGGGCGGCUGGUACUCUGUCCUUCUACAGAGUCUCCUCUGAUGGACUGACCCUCCUGUACAGCUUCACCUCCUCAUUCACUGAACCCCUCUAUCCUGGGUUUUAUGUUCAUACAAACUCCUCCCUGUGGAUGUGCAUGCUGGGAUAGCUCACUGUGUGCUGGAGGAAUCAUUUUUACCUUAUCAGAGUGUUACAUGUCGCUGCUUCUCCGUGGAAAAAAGGUAAAAUCUCUGUCUUUGUAACCAGUAUAACCCUUUUUACUCUGUCUGAAGUGUGAUGUAUGCUAAAAAAAUAAGUAAUUGGGUUCUGUAAGCUGAACAAACAUGCUAAAUGACUGUUUUUCUCUGAGUUAUGGUCUAUGUUGUCUGUAAAUGCACCAAAACUGCCGCAACAAAUUCAUAGUACAUGCAGUUGUACCAAUAUAGUAAAUUCUGAUUCUGAAUAAAAUAAAAUGUAAUGAAAUCUAAGCCUGAUGAGUGGGGGGAGCUUUUCCCCUCCCCUCUAUAUUUAUAUUUUAUAUUUCUGUCUAUAUAUUGUAUUUGCUACCUGUACACUGACAAUAAAAGCUUCCUAUUCUAUCCCAUUAAUGUCCCGGUUCCGCGCUGCCCAGAACGUAACUGAGUAACAGACUUAAUCCGCGCUCUCUGCUCACUGAGCGCAGCAGCCUGAUAUCGCAGCGGCGACGCUUUGGCCAGCAGGGGGCGGCAGACGGGAGACAGUUUAUUAACACAAAACCUACAGUACAGCGGUCCUGAGGUAACUUAGUAAAGAUAAUAAUAUAAUCAAAUUGAUCAUAUAUUAACUAUCCAUCCAUCCAUUUUCCAAACUGCUUGUCCUAUUGGGUCGCGGUAAACAUAACAUAAAAGCUUAAUAAAUAACGUUAGUACAACAACAACAGAAAAGCACCUGACCAUCAAUGAAGUAGUGUAGGUGAUUACCAUUUAUCAGAAAAAACACAUACAUCCUGUUUCAUUAGGAAUCCUGAGAUAUAUACAGUACUGUGCAAAAGUCUUAGGCAGUCAUAGGAAAUGUUUAAAGCUAUUUAUCUGGGUAGUAAAUUUAUAUUUUCUCAGUAUGAAAAACAAAAUUUAAUAUUAGAACAUAUGCAAAUUAUGAGCAAAACAAAAAAACUAAAAGGAAUUUCUU